GUGCUCAUUUCGGCAGCACAUACACUAAAAUUGGAAAGAUACAGAGAAGAUUAGCAUGGCCCCAGGGCAAGGGUGACAUUCAAAUUCGUGAAGCAUUCCAUAUUAAG
ensembl:snRNA U6 U6 spliceosomal RNA